AAGCCACGUGCUUCUACUCUAAAGUUGGAAUGACACAGAGAAAAUUCGCAUGGCCCCUGCACAGGAUGACACGCAAAUUCGUGCAGCGUUCCCUAUUUUU
rnacentral:snRNA from 1 species